CGGAGACUGACUUUGUCCCGGAGUGUCAAGGUGCCUUCACUGUACAUCUACUAACUGCUUCCAUUUAUGACAGCCUACCAAGACAAUGCUGAUACAUGAAGACUCCUGUUUGCUGGCUUCAUCUCAAGAAUUUUGCUGCAAAAAUGGCUGCUGUCUACACGCAGCGCUACAAAAAAAAUUGAACCCCCCGUUUUUCUUCACGUUAGGUAUCAAUGACACAAGAACAUGGAUUCCUUGUUGUGAUAACACAAAUCCCUAACACCGCGAGCAGAGAACGAGUAAAAAUGUAGUACCAAACUCGUCAAGAGAUGGCGCCACCUCCGAGAUAGAACGCGCCAACGAUUUGUCGUCGUAGAAUCAUGACGUCCGAGAUACAAAUUACCGAUCGGUUUAGAAUUUUUAGGAGAAGAUUAGUACCUGUUGGCUGCAUAAGUGCAUACCCCUGUCAAGGCUUGUGCGUAACCAGUGUAGUCUUUUACAUAAUGUUGUAAUAAAUAAGCUAACUGAAAUAACUACCUUGUUUUCGAAUGCGGAGAGUAACCCUUACUACAAUAGAAUAAUAAUAAAAUAUUAGACCAUAUAUUUUAUAAGCUACUCGAGUUUUAUUUUCUGUGUACAUAGUAACUAUGAAAUGAUAAACUCAAUGUUUCAUGAC